rnacentral:rRNA from 4 species
CACAUGACUCUCGGCAACGGAUAUCUCGGCUCUCGCAUCGAUGAAGAACGUAGCGAAAUGCGAUACCUGGUGUGAAUUGCAGAAUCCCGCGAACCAUCGAGUCUUUGAACGCAAGUUGCGCCCGAGGCCCUCGGGCCGAGGGCACGCCUGCCUGGGCGUCACGC